UACGUAGGGGGCAAGCGUUAUCCGGAAUUACUGGGUGUAAAGGGUGAGUAGGCGGCAUGGUAAGCCAGAUGUGAAAGCCUUGGGCUUAACCCGAGGAUUGCAUUUGGAACUAUCAAGCUAGAGUACAGGAGAGGAAAGCGGAAUUCCUAGUGUAGCGGUGAAAUGCGUAGAUAUUAGGAAGAACACCAGUGGCGAAAGCGGCUUUCUGGACUGAAACUGACGCUGAGGCACGAAAGCGUGGGGAGCGAACAGG
rnacentral:rRNA from 1 species